AUUGAACGCUGGCGGCAGGCCUAACACAUGCAAGUCGAACGAGUGGCGGACGGGUGAGUAAUGUCUGGGAAACUGCCCGAUGGAGGGGGAUAACUACUGGAAACGGUAGCUAAUACCGCAUACCAUCGGAUGUGCCCAUAGGGGAUUAGCUUGUAGGUGAGGUAACGGCUCACCUAGGCGACGAUCCCUAGCUGGUCUGAGAGGAGGAUCAGACAAACUGGAACUGAGACACGGUCAAGACACCGACGGGAGGCAGCAGUGGGGAAUAUGGCACAAUGGGCGCAAGCCUGAUGCAGCCAUGCCGCGUGUAUGAAGAAGGCCUUAGGGUUGUAAAGUACUUUCAGUGGGGAGGCGUUACCCGCAGAAGAAGCACCGGCUAACUCCGUGCCAGCAGCCGCGGUAAUUC
rnacentral:rRNA from 1 species